rnacentral:rRNA from 1 species
GACGAACGCUGGCGGCGUGCUUAACACAUGCCAGUCGAACGGAAAGGCCCUGCUUUUGUGGGGUGCUCGAGUGACGAACGGGUGAGUAACACGUGAGUAACCUGCCCUUGACUUUGGGAUAACUUCAGGAAACUGGGGCUAAUACCGGAUAGGAGCUCCUGCUGCAUGGUGGGGGUUGGAAAGUUUCGGCGGUUGGGGAUGGACUCGCGGCUUAUCAGCUUGUUGGUGGGGUAGUGGCUUACCAAGGCUUUGACGGGUAGCCGGCCUGAGAGGGUGACCGGCCACAUUGGGACUGAGAUACGGCCCAGACUCCUACGGGAGGCAGCAGUGGGGAAUAUUGCACAAUGGGCGGAAGCCUGAUGCAGCAACGCCGCGUGCGGGAUGACGGCCUUCGGGUUGUAAACCGCUUUCGCCUGUGACGAAGCGUGAGUGACGGUAAUGGGUAAAGAAGCACCGGCUAACUACGUG